CUUUAUAGUCCCAUCAGAGUGGCUGCUUAUAAGCCGAUUUCUAAUAUGGAGCAUCGAUAGGAUCUCCCCAUUCAUCGACAUAUCCAAUUCAGGACCUUCGACACAGGACCACAGCUCUGCCUGCACAAAUAGGGGGCAAGGGCAGCCAGUAUCUUCUCCUCGAGGUUCUUUGAUGAUUGCAGCACACUGAUGAAUUUCUCAAGCAAGGAUUUGCGUGCAACGUCUCUUAUGCCACAAUCAGGAAAGCUAUAGAGCAUGUACACGAGCCACGUAGCCACGAUGAGGCUAGACUUGGCAAUCUCUAUUGAGUUACUUACUAAGCAUUCCUCCAAAGCUUUGAAAAUCAACCCUUUCUCAUGGUUUGACAGCACAAAUGCCAUCCUCUUCUCCCAGUUUCUUGAUGCUUUCUCUUCUUCUCUCUAAGAAUAUGCGUUUUCAAAACAAAAUCAAUACACCAUAGGAAAAUGAAAUCUACAUAAAGUCAUAAACAGGACCAUUUCUUACAAUUUCAGCAUAUUCUGCUUCAUUGGUCUUUGUUUCUUCCCCUCUCAUCAUAGCAUUGUAAGGCUGGUCGAAUCCUGCGAUUUUUAGUAGCCAACACUCCAUAUAUGUCUUCUUAGAGCCAGCAAAAUGCCCCGAAAGAGAUGACAGUGUGCCAAGAGCCAUGACUUGAGAAGAUGGAAAAUCUUUUCUUUGAAGAGCUUCUAGUAAUGCUUCCAUGGCUUCUUCUCUGUAGAUGCUCAUCUUCCGUGGAGCAGUCUGAGAUGAAAAAGGUCAAGCUGAAGAAGAAGGGUGGCGAUGGCUGGUUUCUGCACCAUCGGUGACAUUUGCAGGUAAACCAAGAGGGUGUGCAUGGUGCUAAAUGUUCCUUCAUCCUUUAUUAUUUGCAAAAUCUGGUUGCUGAAUGUUCUCCUGAAAUUUUGGAAGGAAUGCAUAUCAAAGUUUACAUGGAGCAAGUAUGUAUAUUUUGGAAGUUGAAAAAAGGUUAAUGGCCUUGAAAUGCAUUAACUUGUGUCCGUUCUUGGUUUUGCAAACGACUUUGAAUUUUUUUCCAUUUGUUGCAAUUUUCAUGAUUCAACUAUUCCUGGCAAA